rnacentral:rRNA from 1 species
UAAUACGUAGGCAGCGAGCGUUGUUCGGAGUUACUGGGCGUAAAGAGUGUGUAGGCGGUGUCGUAAGUUCGGUGUGAAAUCUCCCGGCUUAACUGGGAGGGUGCGCCGGAAACUGCGAGACUCGAGUGCGGGAGAGGGAAGCGGAAUUCCUGGUGUAGCGGUGAAAUGCGUAGAUAUCAGGAGGAACACCUGCGGUGUAGACGGCUUCCUGGACCGUUACUGACGCUGAGACACGAAAGCGUGGGGAGCAAACAGGAUUAGAUACCCUGGUAGUCCACGCCCUAAACGAUGCAUACUUGGUGUGAGCCAUUCAGUUGGUUCGUGCCGGAGCUAACGCGUUAAGUAUGCCGCCUGGGGAGUACGGUCGCAAGGCUG